rnacentral:tRNA from 1 species
GCAUGAAACCAUAGCUCAGUCGGUAGAGCAUGAGACUCUUAAUUUCAGGGUCGUGGGUUUGAGCCCCACAUUGGGCA